UGGAAAGCACACUUGGAGAAGAGGGAGAGGGCAGGCAGAUGCCCAGGCUCCCUCUUCCCCCGCUGUCUGGGUGGGUAGUGCGGGAAAGGGGGAUGAGGAUGGUCCCCAAGUCCCCUCCCCACCAAAGGCAGGAUCUGCAAAGUUGCUGGGAUCGCAGGAGAGGAAGGCGCCUGCGAAACCUGAGAGGUCCUUGGGCUCAUUCAUGAGGACAGUGGAAGACACCUUCACCUGAAGGCCACAGGCUGUAAGCUCAGGAGUGGAACGAAUGCCGAGUUAAGAGCACGCAGGGAAAUGUCUGGACCCAGGACGCUCCUGGCCCUGCCCUGGGCCUGCUCCAGCUGACCUCCUCUUUACGGUGCCUGAGUGAAGCACUCAUUCUAACAGCCAUGCGAGCUCCAGGCGGCAGGCUCUCAGGCAGGGAACUGCGGAGGCAAGACUAAGCCCCCACGGCCACUUCACUUAUUACCUUAUAACCUGUUGGGAGCAACAUAACCUCCUUUUUCUUUUGUGGCUUCUGAAAUGAUUACACAGGGAAAUUCUAGCUCAAGUUUUACAAAAUCCUACAGUUGAUUGAGACCAAACAGAA